rnacentral:rRNA from 1 species
AUACCCUAUUAUAAUAAAUCUAACAGAGGUAGUAAUUUCAUUUAUUUAAACCUGUAAAUUAUGGCGGCAUUUUAUCUAAUUAGAGGAAUCUGUUUUUUAAUCGAUAUCCCCCGAUAAAUUUUACUUAUUUUAAAAUUUUAUAUACCUCCGUUUUAAGAAUUUAUUUAAAAAUUUUAUUCUAAAAAAUUUUUAAAAAAAUAGGUAAAGGUGUAGACCACAAUUAAGUUAAAAUGGGUUACAAUAAAUUCUAUUUAAGGAUUUGAUUAUAAUAUAUCUCUAAAAGGGGAUUUAAAAGUAAAUUUAUAAUAAUAUUUUAUUUUGAAUAAGAUAAUAAAUGUGC